GACGAACGCUGGCGGCGUGCUUAACACAUGCAAGUCGAGCGGUAAGGCCCUUUCGGGGGUACACGGGCGGCGAACGGGUGAGUAACACGUGGGUGACCUGCCCUCAGCUCUGGGAUAAGCCUGGGAAACCGGGUCUAAUACUGGAUAUGACUCCAUGACGCAUGUUGUGGGGUGGAAAGCCUUGUGCGGCUGAGGAUGGGCCCGCGGCCUAUCAGCUUGUUGGUGGGGUGAUGGCCUACCAAGGCGACGACGGGUAGCCGGCCUGAGAGGGCGACCGGCCACACUGGGACUGAGACACGGCCCAGACUCCUACGGGAGGCAGCAGUGGGGAAUCUUGCGCAAUGUGCGAAACCCUGACGCAGCGACGCCGCGUGA
rnacentral:rRNA from 1 species